rnacentral:rRNA from 1 species
UACAUGUGGGGCAAGCGUUGUUCGGAAUUACUGGGCCUAAAGGGUGCGUAGGCGGUUUGUUAAGUCACUGGUGAAAGUUUUCGGCCCAACCGGAAAAUUGCCUGUGAUACUGGCGAACUUGAGUGCGUGAGGGGUGAGGGGAACGAGCAGUGUAGCGGUGAAAUGCGUAGAUAUUGCUCGGAAGGCCGGAGCCGAAGGGGCCCCACUGGUACGUAACUGACGCUGAGGCACGAAAGCGUGGGGAGCAAACAGG